GAUGAACGCUAGCGGCAGGCUUAACACCUGCAAGUCGAGGGGUAUAGGUUUUCGGACCUAGAGACCGGCGCACGGGUGCGUAACGCGUAUGCAAUCUACCUUUCACAGAGGGAUAGCCCAGAGAAAUUUGGAUUAAUACCUCAUAGUAUAGCAGUUUCGCAUGAAACCACUAUUAAAGUUCCAACGGCGAAAGAUGAGCAUGCGUCCCAUUAGCUAGAUGGUAAGGUAACGGCUUACCAUGGCUACGAUGGGUAGGGGUCCUGCGAGGGAGAUCCCCCACACUGGUACUGAGACACGGACCAGACUCCUACGGGAGGCAGCAGUGAGGAAUAUUGGUCAAUGGACGAAAGUCUGAACCAGCCAUGCCGCGUGCAGGGUGACGGUCCUAUGGAUUGUAAACUGCUUUUGUACGAGAAGAAACAACAUUACGUGUAAUGUCUUGACGGUAUCGUAAGAAUAAGGAUCGGCUAACUCCGUGCCAGCAGCCGCCGUAACAC
rnacentral:rRNA from 1 species